rnacentral:rRNA from 1 species
AGCAGCCGCGGUAAUUCCAGCUCCAAUAGCGUAUAUUAAAGUUGUUGCAGUUAAAAAGCUCGUAGUUGGAUUUCGGGGUUAGUAGGUUGGUCAUGCCUCUGGUAUGUGCUGGUCUCACUGAUUCCUCCUUCCUGAUGAACCUUAAUGCCAUUAAUUUGGUGUUUUGGGGAAUUUGGACUGUUACUUUGAAAAAAUUAGAGUGUUUAAAGCAAGCUAACGCUUGAAUACGUUAGCAUGGAAUAAUGAAAUAGGACGUUCGAUCCUAUUUUGUUGGUUCCUAGGAUUGACGUAAUGAUUAAUAGGGAUAGUUGGGGGCAUUAGUAUUCAAUUGUCAGAGGUGAAAUUCUUGGAUUUAUUGAAGACUAACUACUGCGAAAGCAUUUGCCAAGGAUGUUUUCAUUAAUCAAGAACGAAAGUUAGGGGAUCGAAGACGAUCAGAUACCGUCGUAGUCUUAACCAUAAACUAUGCCGACUAGGGAUCGGAUGAUGUUAAUUUUUUAAUGACUC